ACUUCUAAUCGGUACUUAGAAGUUAUCACCACUUGCUAAGGAAGAUACUUCUUCUUCUUUUGCAAGACCACCGUACUAUAUAUUUAGAGCUAAAAGACUUCUUGAAGUGUCAUAAAGGGUAGGGAAAUGAUGGCAUAUGCUAGAGUAAAUGAUGCUUAAAGCAUGGUGAUGAAGCCUACUAACAUAGCAUGUUUUUGUUGGAGAUUAUGAAGGACUAAUGGGCAAAAGGAUCAAUGAGCAUGGUGUGGAAAAAAAAUGGAAAUUGAUGGAGUUGUUUUUGAACCAAAAUGUUUGGGAUUUGGUUAUAAUGGAAUGAUGGUGAAUGAAUUAAUAAAAUGAGUGGAAAGUCACACCGUCUUCUUGCUCCUCUAUACAUAUGGCUAGAAAAGACAUGGCACCACCGUGAGUGGUGGUGUGCCCCCGCUACUUGUGCCACCAAUAGUGGUGGUUCGCCGAAAUCUGUAAAUUUACGUUCUGCUCCACAUUAGAUCGUCAUUCAUUUUAGCUCCAAUUCUCCAUAUUAAUGCCAAAAAUAAAUGUUUCUUUCACUCUUACAAUAUUCUAGAUAUAUAAAAAAGAAUUAAAUUCAGUUUACCCCCAUGAAGUUUGGGAGUAACUUCAUGUUAGUUCCUAUACUUUCAAUUUCAUCAGUUUACCCCUCAAACUUUUGAAUUUUCCUCAAGCGUGACCAAAUGUCCUAUAUUCUGUCCAAAUCGGACGUUAACUACUGAUAAUUUUAACCUUAACUGUGAGGCCAGUAUCUAGAAUUUGGGCAAAUCGGACCUUAUAUGUCCAAAUCGAACCUUAACUGCUGAUAAUUAAAAGUCAAUUCAAACGGAAUAUGAGAAUUUGGGCACGGCAGACAGAAAUUGAAGAGUUCAAGGGGUAAACUGAUGAAAAUAAAAGUGUAGGGACUAACAUGAAGUCACCCCCNNNNNNNNNNNNNNNNNNNNAGUGAAAAUUUUGUGGAAACUGCAAAUUCAAUAGAAGAAAAAAAAUUCACUGAAACUAAACCAGCACAAUGUAUCUAAAAAUGUAAUGCUGAAUCAUAUCAGAUUUUCAGCAUUAGAAGUUCUUUGAGGAUAGUACUGACCUCUUUCUCUGUCCAGCAUCUUGAAGAUCUGGUUGGACCAGUGGUUCUCCUAGAACAAUUCAAAUGAGCAAUUAUCAUAUGAAAGCAUAAAACUGAGCGAGCCAUCCAAAACCAGAAAAUUGAAGAUUAUAGAAAAUAGAAUUAAAUUCAGUUUACCCCCAUAAAGUUUGGGAGUAACUUCAUGUUAAUCCCUAUACUUUCAAUUUCAUCAGUUUACCCUCUAAACUUUUGAAUUUUCCUCAAGCGUGACCAAAUGUCCUAUAUUCUGUCCAAAUCGGACGUUAACUACUGAUAAUUUUAACCUUAACUGUGAGGCCAGUAUCUAGAAUUUGGGCAAAUCGGACCUUAUAUGUCCAAAUCGAACCUUAACUGCUGAUAAUUAAAAGUCAAUUCAAACGGAAUAUGAGAAUUUGGGCACGGCAGACAGAAAUUGAAGAGUUCAAGGGGUAAACUGAUGAAAAUAAAAGUGUAGGGACUAACAUGAAGUCACCCCCAAACCACAAGGGGGUAAACUGAAUUUAAUUAUAUAAAAAAUGAUUUAAUGAAAGCUAAAAUAAACUCAAAAACAAGUUAAAGUCAAUAUAUAAGGGAAUGCAAAUAUAUGUAAAUUAUGAUCUAACACACCAACAAAUCAAACAACAUGAAUUCAAUUAAGAAGCUCAAAACCGAAACACCGAAAAUUUGGAACUCAAAACCGCAAAGGCACGAAGCAACAUCAAAAUUCAGAGAAACUAAAUCCAUAUCAAAUCUCAAAACCUAGACUAAUCAAAGCUAAUUAAAAUGGAGUACAAAUAUAGAAACACCCGGACAAACUAAAUUCACAGCUACUAUCAGAAAUCAUUCGAAUAAAAUCACAAACUAGACUAUCAGAGAAAAGGAAUAUAUUAGGAUACCUCAUUGGCGGGUAAAUUUAGUAACAACAAAAAUUUAGAGGGUAAAUCCAUACAUCCCUCAUAGUUCAGGGGCAAAAUACAAAAUCACAAUUUCUAGUUUCUAAAUUUGAGUAAUUAUUCCCUAUACUCGGGACACCACGUGACAUUGUCAUAUAAUGUACUCAGCCAAUUAUAUAACUCAGAUUCAUGUGAGGGCAAACAGAGGUGGAAAAAAAAAAGUAAUUAAAUACACCAAUCAGAAGUAAAAAUAAAACACUUGGACCAAAGGGAAACAUAAAACAUGUGGUAUUCCGGAUACAAAUAAUAAUAGGGAUGUGAAAUCCACACACCACACCUCAAAUUGAAAUCCACACACCAUUUUUCUUUUUUUGAUUAACACAUUCACUUAAAAAAAAAAAUUUAAGUCACUAAAAGACAAAAUUUAAAUUUCGGGUGUGUGAAUUUCACGACCGUAAU
rnacentral:lncRNA from 1 species